rfam:Aspergillus sydowii CBS 593.65 ASPSYscaffold_18_Cont558, whole genome shotgun sequence.
CUUCGACAGCCUGCUGCGGGCAAAUAUAGUGAACAUGGGUAUCGACACCACCAGCAGUAACAAUUUUGCCCUCGCCGGCAAUGAUGUCGGUGUUUGAUCCAAUGACUAGAGAUGGAUUCACGUUAUCCAUCACAUCGGGGUUACCGGCCUUUCCAAUUCCCACUAUGACCCCUUCUUUGAUUCCAAUAUCGGCCUUGUAGAUACCGGUCCAGUCGAUUACAAUAGCGUUAGUCAAAACAAGGUCCGCGCACUCGUUAUCUGAACGACCCGCGGCCUGCCCAAUUCCGUCGCGUAG